GCGGCGUGCNUAACACAUGCAAGUCGAACGAUGAACCGCUUUCGGGCGGGGAUUAGUGGCGAACGGGUGAGUAACACGUGGGCAAUCUGCCCUGCACUCUGGGACAAGCCCUGGAAACGGGGUCUAAUACCGGAUAUGACUGUCCAUCGCAUGGUGGAUGGUGUAAAGCUCCGGCGGUGCAGGAUGAGCCCGCGGCCUAUCAGCUUGUUGGUGAGGUAGUGGCUCACCAAGGCGACGACGGGUAGCCGGCCUGAGAGGGCGACCGGCCACACUGGGACUGAGACACGGCCCAGACUCCUACGGGAGGCAGCAGUGGGGAAUAUUGCACAAUGGGCGAAAGCCUGAUGCAGCGACCCGCGUGAGGGAUGACGGCCUUCGGGUUGUAAACCUCUUUCAGCA
rnacentral:rRNA from 1 species